rnacentral:rRNA from 1 species
UACGUAGGGUGCGAGCGUUGUCCGGAAUUAUUGGGCGUAAAGGGCUCGUAGGCGGUUUGUCGCGUCGGGAGUGAAAUCCACUGGCUUAACUGGUGGCUUGCUUUCGAUACGGGCAGACUGGAGGUAUGCAGGGAAGAACGGAAUUCCUGGUGUAGCGGUGAAAUGCGCAGAUAUCGGGAAGAACACCCGUGGCGAAGGCGGCACUCUGGGACGGUACUGACGGCUGAGACGCGAAAGCGUGGGGGAGCGAACAGG